AUUUAUUUAGGAUUUGGUUAGAAUUUGGUUAAGAUUUGACUAAGAUUUGAUUAAGAUUUGUUUAGAAUUUGAUUAGAAUUUGGUUAGGAUUUGUUUAGGAUUUGGUUAGGAUUUAUUUAAGAUUCGAUUAGGAUUUGAAUAGAAAUUGUUUAGGAUUUAACUAAUAUUUAUUUAGGAUUUGAUUAGGAUUUUUUUAGGAUUUGACUAAGAUUUAUUUAAGAUUUUUUUAGGAUUUGAGUAGGAAUUAUUUAGGAUUUAAGUAGGAUUUAUUUGAGAUUUGUUUAGGAUUUGACUAAGGUUUGGUUAAGAUUUGAUUAGGAUUUAAUUAGGAUUUGAUUAAUAUUUUUUUAGGAUUUGACUAAGAUUUGGUUAAGAUUUGAUUAAGAUUUAAUUAGGAUUUGAUUAAGAUUUGUUUAGGAUUUGAUUAGAAUUUAGUUAGGAUUUAUCUAGGAUUUGAUUACGAUUUUAUUAAGAUUUGUUUGGAAUUUUAUUAGGAUUUCAUUAGGAUUUGUUAUGAUUUGAAUAGGAUUUAAUUAAUAUUUCUAUUUUAACAUUUUAUUAAGAUUUUUAUUUUAAUAUAUUUUUGAAUUUCUAUAUUAUUUUUUUAUAAUUUCUUUAAAAGGUUUUUAGAAAUACUUUUUAUUCUUACAUAAUUUUUUUGUAAUUUUGAUUGAUUGAUAUUUGAUUAUACUUGCUAAUCUUUAAUUAUAAUUUAUUUAAGAAUCUGCUAGAAUUUUUAUGACUUAUUGUUGUAAUUUUCUUUUUAUCUUCUACAACUAAAUACCCAGUGCAUUUUCAAGCCAAACACCAUGUAUUACAACAUCAUAUUGAUUUUCAUUAGUUCUAGCUUUGAUAAAUUAGUUUGUGAAAACUUAAGAGUUGUUGUUAAAAUUUAAUUUAUUCCUCUACAUCCAUAUCUUUGUUGUUGAUGUCUUUCAAAUAAUCAAUUGUUAUAUGCAAUGGCUUGAGCAAUAAAUUGUUUUAAAGAUUUUAUCUUUGGCAUUAUCAAUAACAAGUAUUUGACAUUAUCCUUCAAUCUAUAUUAAAAUUGAUUAAUAAGGGCUUGGUCAUUUCAAUUCAUGUCACAAGAAAGUUUUAGAAUUCAAUAGCAUAUAUGGUGGCUGACAGUGAUCCUUGCCAUCAAAAUAAGAGUUUGGUCUGUGCUAUUUUUUCUUGAUCAAUUUUUCUAAAUGUGGCCGUAAACACUUCUAGUAAUGAAGAAAAAUUAUAAAAGAGUUGGAAUUUUUUUUUAUUAUAAGUACAAAUUAAGAGAGAGCACUUCCUAAUAGAAGUGUAUAUAUGAAUCUGACUUGAGUAAAUCCAUCGGGGUAUUGGAAAUGAUGCAAUCUUAGAUAGAGCUUGAUUUAUUGUAAAAAUCCUCAAAAUUUUGAUCUUGUUCCAUCAAACUUCUCAAGCAUACUAGUUCUUAUCCUUGUCAUACUUCUAGAAGAAAAACUUCCUAGAUUCGAUUGUGAGGUUGAUCUACUUGCUUCUUUUAAUUGCACAACUUUGUAAUGUAGACUCUAAACUUCUUUCAUAGGCAUAGGCAUAGUUCCUCAAUGAUCCAUGUUGGAAAUACAUGAGAUUUGCACUCUUAGAGUAUUGACAAAGUCAUGAAGAUCUGCAAUAGUUACAAAUCUAUUCUAACUUUUGCUUGGAGUAGCAUCCAUAAUCUUUCUUUCUACAAACAAUUCAAAUAAAUCCAAAAAUUAAAUUUAAAAAAGAUAAUCUAUAAUCUUUAAUAAAGAUUUCUACAAAGAAGGGUAAUCCACUCUCUUUAAUGAAAAGAUUAGUGUUAGAAAAUAAGAUUUUUUGUUUAAAGGUAGAUAAUUUGUAACCUUCAAAAUACAAAAAUAAAAGUGGAAUAAUCCACUUACUUCUAUAACAAGAUAGAGAUAAUAUGUUAGUGCUCUUGUCAAACUAUCAAGGACAUAAAUCUUGAAGAUGGAAAAUUCUCAAUACAUUCUUAAGUCAUUAAAGAGAACUAGAAAGUCUCUAAAAAAUGUGAUGUAAUAUUUGACUAGAAUGGCUAUUGCCAAAAACAGAAAAGACUAGAAAGUCUUGAAAUAAGACUAAAGAUUAAAAAGGUUUUGACAAGAGUGAAGAAGGUUUCACUCUUGCUUCUAUAUAUACUUUCUAAUUAGGAGCUACAUAGCAAUAUUCUAUAGGACCUCCAACAUGUAUUGACUUUGCUAGCCACAUGUCUUAACUUACAAGGCAAUUUAUCUAUGUAUGCACCACAUAGUUAGCUUGUUCCACAAGCUAGUAGAUGGAGUUAACUUAUUCUACAAGCUACCAAUACAUUGUCGUAUUAUGUAUUGUCUUGCUCAAGAUUACACCAGGCACCUAGCUAUGGAAGGCGAGGUUGUGUUUCACAAGUAUCCAAAAAUCCUAAUAGAUUUUAUCCAUAUGAAAAGAAUAAAAUCUGAAUUUUGAUUCAAAAGUGCAAAAAAAUAUUCUUUUUAGUAGCCUUAAUUAUACAUAAAUUCCAAUUACCUUGUUACUUUCAUAUUUAAGCAAUUUAGAUUUUUCUUAUAAAUCCCAAUCCUAAUCAGUGAGCUUUAAUAAGCUGUAACAUCCAAUAUGACCAUCCACUUGAUGUAAAAUUUUGUAUGCAAUUAUCAAUGUAGAUCUUCUACAUGCUCAAUACUUUUUAUUCCAAUCCAACUUACAAAUUGUGAAAAAACCUCCAAAAAUUGUACUAAUGUCACUUGGCCGCUAACUUGAAAAGUGAAGUAAAAAUCCUAGUAGUGAUUUCUCCUUUUUCAACCAUUAACUUUGACUCAUAAUUGGUAUGAAGCUUGAUCUUCAAGUCCUUCAACACCAUACCAAAUUUCACCAUGAUUCAACUAAUAGAUCUUUAGAUAUCAUAGAAAUCCUACCCAACCUCAAACUGCCAACUUCCAAAACUCUCUUGUGCUAAAAACCAGAUAUCUCUAAACCAUGCUGUUACAUUAACACAAAAUUUUGUAUACAUUCAGUACACCUAGUAAUCCAAAAAAUAUCAAAUUUUCAACUGUAGAUGUUAUAUCAAUUGCACAAACUAGCCAAAAUUACUAGCCCUAAUUAUAUUGUAUAAAACCCAAAUCACCAAUAUAAACCUUGAUUUUGAACAAUAAUUGUUAAGUCUUCAAAAAUCUUCUAAAAAAAAUCCUUAUGCUUUUGAAAAGAAUUUCAAGCUAGCUCUCAAAUCCUAUCCUAUAAUCUUUAAAUGAAUCCCUAUUUUACCCUAGGCUGUCAUUUUAGUGGCUAGUGUCACGAAUUUAGAAUAUUGACUGGAAAUUUAAAUAAGAAGCUCAAGAAGAAUCGGAAAGAACUAGAUUAGUCAGAUGAAUACAAGAACAACAUUAGAGAGGUAAGCUAGAACUCCAAGAGGUGUAUUGUCGAGAAUGAGGAUCCUCUCAGUCUUGACUCCUAUAUAUACUGCAAACUAGGAAGCUUCUUAAGUAGCUUUUACAAACUGGAAACCUUCUCAAGCAACUUCUACGAGCUUGAAAACUUCUUAAGUAGCUUCUACAAACUAUAAAGCUUCUCUAGAAUCUUCUAGAAUCUUCUACAACUUCAUAGUAUAUAUCUUUGACAUCAUUCCCCCUCCUUUAGCUUCGAGGUCUUUGAGAAGCACUCCUAUUCCAAGUGAGUACCAACGUAAGAAGUUAAAAAUUUGUCACAUAGUAUGUGCAAUAUAUUCCAAUUAUUGUUUGGAAACAAUAAAUAAUUAAUUUGUCUUUGUAAUCAAUGAUAGUAUCCUACGCCUUUGAUUUUUGACUAGGCAUAAACUUUCAUAUCUUCAUUGUGAAAAUGCCUUGCAAACACUCCUUCGGGAAGAUCACCAUAGGCAGGUUCUACCUCAAAUAUAAUCACUAGUAAUCUGUUACUAGGUAUCCUCCGUUAUCUGUGGUACAGGCGGUUCUUCAUGUCGGGGUCGUCUUCGUGAGAUAGUUGGUUGAGAAGACAUGACUGGUAUGGUAUCUAUUUCUUGGUUAUCCAUAUCAAACUGAAAAAAUAAGCACUAAACAUGGAAGAAUGGGCUCAGGUGACAGAUUUAUAGUCUCUAACUAUGUCUUUUUGAGAGGUUCUUUCUUCCCCUUCUUUGUAAGGCCGAGGAUUAAGAGGCUUUAAGGAAAAAGGACUUCACUAAAAAACUUUCAUCGAAAGGACUUAAGUUUUUGAGGAUAGCGUCGAUGAAACUCCUGUACUUUUUGUGACACAUUGACAAGAUUUUUUGCUAGUUCCCAUGUGCGCUCAUUGAUAUCAUAGCUGCUCUAAUGUACUAGGUACUCUGAUUUCUCCCACUUACGUUGUAAAUCUAAUACCUUUUCGUAUUCCUCAUGAUUCUCAAUUUCAAUACUAGGUGGCGAACAUUGCACUCUUUUAGGAAAAGACAACUCUCGAUAAGGCUCUAACAAAGAAACAUAAAAGAUUGGGUGUACCUUCAUAACAGCCGAUAACUCAAACGGUAUGCCACUUGAUUGAUUUGCUUCUGGAUGACAAAUGGUCCCAAUCUCUGGUAGUCCAAUUUAUCACAUGGCUACUUGGUUUUGAUAUUCCGUCGAAGCAGCCAUAUUUUAUCUCCAAUUUUGAAAGUAGGUGUUUGAUUCCAAAAUUUAUCUCCAGACGCCUUGUAAGCUUCUUGGAUUGUUUGCAAUUGAAGCUUCAACUUAGUUAGAAGCUCCGAUAGUUGUUUCACAAAUCCUUUAGCUGCCGGGUUAUUAUUGGUUAAUGGAUUCAACAAAUGAAGUUUCGAAUAAUAUCCAUAGUUGAAAAAGAAUGAUGUUCGUUGAUUCAACGCAUGAAGGGUGUUGUUAUAUGUAAACUUGGCUGAUGAUAGAUAUGCACUCCAUUCACCUUAUUGAUAGUUGAUGCUGCAUCGUAAAUAUUGCUCUAAAGUUUGAUUCACCCAUUUUGUUUGGCCAUCAAUUUGAGGAUGAAAAGCCAAAGAAAGCUUGAUAUCCACCUUCAAUAUUUUAAAGAGAGAUCUCUAAAACUUUGAUACAAAUUGGGUUCCUUGAUCCGACAUGAUAUCAUCUAAUAAACCAUGAUAUUGAUACACACUAUCAAAGAAGAGUCUUGCUGUGUCUUUGCUAGAUGAUGUUUUCUUGCAAGGGACAAAGUAUGCCAUCUUUGUAAGCCAAUCUACUACAACAAAGAUGCUGUCAAAUAAAUUCGAUGGCGGCAAGUCCAUAAUGAAGUCCAUAGAAACUAAAGACCACAGCCGACAUGGAAUAGGCAAUGGCUGAAGAAGACCAUAAGGAUGAUGUCGAGGAUUCUUCGAUCUUAAACACAUGUCACAGGAGAGGACAAAAUCUUUGACAUCCUUCCACAUUUGAGGCCACCAAAAAUCUUGGGAAAUAAGUUCCAAGAUCUUAUUGAAUCCAAAAUGUCUCGCAGUUGAAAAGUUGUGUCGAAAUUAGAGAAUUCAAAGUCAUGCUGAUCCCUUUGGAAUAUACAACCGCUCUUCAAAGUAUAAAAGAUCUCUUUCCACCUUCAAUUUGUCAUUAUUGACACAUUGAGUGAUAUCGAGGGCUAUAGAAUCUCCAAUAGUCACAAUACAUACAUUGGCUUUAUAGUAGAACAAAGCCUCAAUUGUUCUGACUUCAAUAAUGUUGUACACUGUUGAUUAAAUGCUGCUUCUCUAGUCUUUGAUACUAGAUACGAUUUCUUUGAUAAUACAUCAGAUAGUCCUUGUUGCUUCUUAGGUUGAUAAGUAAUAACAGAAUCAAACUUGAAUAGCAACAUAUUCCAUUGAGCUUGACAACGAUUCAAAACCCGAGUCGACAUGAAGUAUUCUAAAUUCUUGUGAUCCUUGUAUAUGAUCACCGAAUCCACAGCACCUUUGAGAAAGUGAUGCCAUUUUGAGAAAGAAUCCACUAUUACAAGAAGUUCUUUAUCGUGGAUCUCAUAGUUGAUCUCAGCAGCAAAAAACUUUCGAGAGUAGAACGCAACUGGAUGAAGCUUCUCAUCUAUGCCUAUCUGCGAAAGUACAGCUCCCAUAGCAAAAUCUGAAGCAGCAGUGUCGUAUUGUAAAUGCUUACAGUUUGUAAAAAUUACUUAGAACAUAUUAUAUGUUAAUAAAUCUAGAUGUGUGUUAGAGUGGCUGUCACGGACCAAAAAUACAAACAAAAAAUCUAAACAAGAAGUUCAAGAAGAAAUGACAAGAACUAGAUUAUCAGAUGAGUACAAGAGCAACGCCAAGAGAAUUGAGCUAGAGCUUCAAGAGAUGUGUUGUCGAGACUGAAGAACUCUUCAGCCUCGACUCCUAUAUAUACUAUUGGCCUAUGGUUCUAAGGAAGCACAUCAAGAAGCUUCCCAAGAACUAUGAAGCUUCUCAAGCAACUACCCAAGAGCUAGGAAGCUUCUCAAGUAACUUCCUAGAAUCUACUAGAAUAUUCUAAGAAUCUUCUAGAGCCUUCUAAGGGAAUCUUUAGAGAAUCUUCAAAGAAUCUUUAGAGAAUCUUUAAAGAAUAUUCUAAGAGAAUAUUCAAGGAAUCUUUUGGAAGUUUCUAGAGACUUCUUUCUAGAAGGUUCUAGAAACUUGUCUCUAGAAAGGUCUAAGGACUAUGUCCCUAACAUCACCUCCUUCUUUAGCUUCGAGAUCUCCGAGAAGCAAUGUUAUCGUCAGUCAAUACCAACGCAAGAAAAUGAAGAUCUGUCGCAUAACCUCUGCUAUGAACUCCAAUUGUUGUUCACGAGGUAAGUGAUUCAAUGGUCCUUAAAGCCAACGGUAGUGGCCCAUGCCUUCAACUUCUGACCAAGCAUGAACCUCCGUGUCUUCAUUGUGAAAUUGUCCUGCAAACACUCCUUCUGGCUGACCAUUGUAGGCAGGCUCGACCUCAAAUACAAUCACCAGCGAUCUAUUGCUCGAAAUCCUUCGACGUCGUCGUGGUGCAAGCGGUUCUUCAUCUCGCAAUCGUCUUCGUGAGCUAGUUGCUUGAGAUGACAUGACAAGUGUAGUAUCUUGGCUAUCCAUAUUCAAAGGCUAAAACAAUAAGAACAAACUUGGACUACUAACAAAGUUCUACGCUAUCUUGGAGAGAAUGACUACAUCAACUAUGGAUUUUGGUGGUGCUCUCUCCUCUUUUCUGUUUUUUGGAUGAGCAAGCUUCAGUAAGAAGCUAUCGUCGAACCGGCUUGGGUUUCUCAGGAUAUCGUCGAUGAAACUCCUGUACCUUUUGCGGCGCAUUCGUGACAUUUUCGACCGGCUCCUAUGUUCGUUCAUUAAUAUCGUAACCGCUCCAAUGCACAAAGUAUUCUAAUUUACCCCAUCUUUGCCGUGAAUCCAGGACCUUUUCCACCUCGUAUUCUUCGUGGUUCUCUAUUUCUAUGCUAGGUGGUGGACAUUGUACUCUUCCAGGAAAAGACGAUUCUCAAUAAGGCUCCAACAAAGAAACAUGAAAGACAGGAUGUACCUUCAUAGUAGCUGGUAACUCCAAACGAUACGCUACAGGAUUGAUCUGCUUCUGGAUAACAAAUGGUCCCAAUCUCCGAUAGUCCAAUUUGUCACAUGGCCGCUUGGUCUUAAUAUUUCGUUGAAGCAGCCAAACUUUGUCUCCAAUCGUGAAUUUAGGUGCCUGAUUCCGAAAUUUGUCCGCGGACGCCUUGUAAGAUUCUUGGGCAGUUUGCAAUUGAAGCUUCAAUGUAAUUUGAAGCUACGAAAGCUCCUUCACCAAUCCUUCAGCUGCCGAAUUGUUAAUCGUUGACGAACUCCAUAAGUCAAGCUUCGGAUGGUAUCCAUAAUUGGAAAAGAAUGGCGUUUGUUGAGUUGACGCAUGAAGGGUGUUAUUAUAUGCGAACUCAGCUAGCGGUAGAUAUGCGACCCAAUCAUCUUGUUGAUAGUUGAUGGUGUAACGUAAAUAUUGCUCUAAAACUUGAUUCACCCGUUCUGUUUGGCCGUCCGUUUGAGGAUGAAAUGCCGAAGAAAGCUUGAUAUCCACCUUCAAUAUUUCAAAAAGAGAUUUCCAAAACUUUGACACAAACUGGGUUCCUCGAUCCGAUACGAUAUCAUCUGGUAGACCAUGAUAUCGAUACACAUUAUCAAGAAAGAGUCUUGCUGUGUCUUCGCUUGACGAUGUCUUCUUGCAAGGGACAAAAUGCGCCAUCUUUGUAAGCCAGUCUACGACAACAAAAAUGCUGUCAAAUGAAUUCGAUGGUGGUAGAUCCGUAAUAAAGUCCAUGGAAACCGAAGACCAUGGUCGGCGCGGAAUAGGGAAUGGCUGUAGAAGUCCAUAAGGUCGAUGUCGAGGGUUUUUGGAUCUUGAACAAAUGUCACAAGAUACAACAAAAUCUUUCACAUCCUUCGACAUUUGAGGCCACCAGAAAUCGCGGGAAAUAAGUUCCAAGGUCUUAUUGAAUCCAAAAUGUCCCGCAGCUGGAAAGUCAUGACGAGAUUGAAGAACUCGGAGUCGUGUUGGCCCUUUUGGGAUAUACAACCACUCUUCGAAAUAUACUAGAUCUCCUUCCAUCUUGAAUUUAUCAUCACUAGCAUGUUGCUUGAUAUCAAGGGCUAGAGAAUCUUCAAUGGUUGCGGCCCGUACCUGGUCGAGGAAGACAGCAUCAAUUGGUACAAUAGCUAUGUUGAGCCAAAAUUUCUCUGGCUUCAACAAUGUCGUGCAUUGUUGAUCAAAUGCUGCAUCUCCAGCCUUUGGCGCGAGAUAUGAUCUCCUUGAUAAUGCAUCGAACAACCCUUGUUGCUUCCCAGGCCGAUAAGUAAUAACAAAGUCGAACCUGGAUAGCGACAUACUCCACCGAGCUUGACGCCGAUUCAAAACCCGAGCCGACAUAAAAUACUCCAAAUUCUUGUGAUCCGUAUAUACGGUCACUGGAUGUGCAGUUCCUUCAAGAAAGUGGCGCCACUCUUGGAAAGAAUCUAUUAUAGCAAGGAGUUCCUUAUCGUGGAUCUCAUAGUUGAUCUCAACAGCAGAGAAUUUUCGAGAAUAGAACGCAACUGGAUGGAGCUUCUCAUCUACGCCUAUCUAUGAAAGUACAGCUCCCAAAGCAAAAUCCGAAGCAUCUGUCUCUAAAUAAAAGGCCUUUAUAAAGUCCGGAUGUACCAAGAUUGGAGCUGUAGUAAAUACCAUCUUCAAAUCUUGAAAUGCUUUUUCUGCGAUAGGUCCCCAUUCGAGCUUGUCCUUAUACGUUAAUCGAGUGAGGGGGGCAGCAACUUGAGAAUAAUUCUUGAUGAAGAUCCGAUAGUAGUUAGCAAAUCCAAGAAAACAUUGUAUGUUCCUAACCGUCUUCGGAACUUCCCAAGACAUGAUUGCUUCCACCUUCUUUGGAUCCAUCUUCAAGCCUUCCGUAGUCGCGAUGAAUCCCAAAAACUCCAUCUCAGUUUGGUGAAAUAAGCACUUCUCCAAUUUGGCAUAGAGUCCUCACUCCCGUAGUUUUUUGAGUACCAGACAAACGUGCUUCUCAUGUUCUUCCUCAUUCUUAAAAAAUAUCAAAAUAUCAUCUAGAUAGAUGACAACAAAAUCGUCUAGAUGCUCUCGAAAGAUGUCAUUCAUCAUGUGUUGAAAGAUCGCUGGAGCAUUAAUAAGACCAAAUGGCAUGACAUUGUAUUCAAAAUAGCCAUAUCUUGUUUGGAACGCUGUCUUCCAUUCAUCUCCUUCCUUAAUUCGCACAAGGUUGUAAGCUCCCCUUAGGUCAAUCUUUGUAAAGAUCCUUGCACGCCCAAGUUGUUCUAGAAGACCAGAGAACAAAGGCAGUGGGUAGCGAUUCUUUUUUGUCACCUUGUUGAGACCUCGAUAGUCCACGCACAUCCGUAGUGAGCCAUCCUUCUUCUUCACAAAUAAGAUUGGUGCCCCAGCUGGCGACUUCGAAUGACGGAUGAAGUUCUUGGCUAGAUUCUCGUCAAUGUACUUCCGCAACUCAGUCAACUCCGUCUGCGACAAAUUGUAGAUUGGUCCAAAAGGUGGUUGUGCUCCUUCUUGUAAUUCAAUGGCACAGUCAUAGGGUCGAUGCUCUGGCAGCAUAUCAGCAUUCUUCUUUUCAAAGACAUCUUUGAAUUCUUCAUACUGCUUUGGAAUAACCAAAGUCGGAGUUGCAUCUUCUCGAGUCGGAGUUGCGAAGAUGACAAGAGGUGUAUUUUGCUUGGCUUCCUUCAUGAAAGCCCUUGCACCUAUAAACAAGGAUUUGUUUCUAGACAUUGUCUUGGCAGAUUCCACCUUCAAGGAGUUUGUUGGAAAUGUCACUUUCCGCAACUUCCAAUCUAUCAAUGGAUUAUAUCUAUCAAGCCAAGAUAGUCCCAAAAUGAUAGGACAUGAAGGGGUCUUGAUAACAUUAAAUACAAUAUUGCUCUCAUGGUUUUUAAGACGUACCUUCAAUGGUUUAGUUUCAUGGAUAACAUUGCCCGAAGACAAUGGUCGUCCGUCUAUAACUUCUACAUGGACAGGCUUAAGUUUCUUUACAAGAGAAAUAUUGUGAAGCUUGGCAAACUCUUCAUCUAUAAAGCAAGCAGAUGCACCCGAGUCUAAUAAAGCAUCGACUUGUAGUUCUUGAAUACCCAGAUGUAAAGGUACCAUAAAACAAUCUGAAGGUUGAGCUGAGAGAAAGGGACCUUGAUUAAUUUUGGAUGUUGAGAUGUCCAGCCGCACGGUCCCUAUUGUGGCUGGGCGUCCUUGUUUUCCUGCAUGCUUGUACUCCUGAGUCUUGUUGUUUGAGGCUUCUGUUUCUUCCGACAAUCUACAGCUUUAUGGCCCGCUUCUCCGUAAUAUAAACACAAGUUUUGUUCAAACCGUCGCUUCCUUUCCUCAACUGUGAGGGGUUUGAAACGUACCGCAUCAAUUUGCAUGGAUUCAGGAUCUGUGGAGUGAUUCUCUGGACCUUUUGAAAAUGUAACAAAUGCUCCAUCAUUUCUCCAGCUUAAUCGUCUUUCUUGUCGUAAUUCAAAGAGGCGGUUGUCACAAAUAAUUGCCUGAGAUAUAAGUUCUUCUAAAGUAGCCGCCUUAGGCAUGGUGAUCAAUAAGUUCUUGACAUCAUCUCUCAGUCCAUAUCGAAAUCGUGUCAUGAACUCCUUAUCAUUCCAAUCAAGAUCACAUGUAAGUUGUUGAAAUUUUGCAGCAUAGAUUGCAGCAGAACGUGAUCCUUGUCACAGAUUUUGUAUCUUUCUUUCAGCCACUCUUUCUCGAUCGCUAUCUCCAAACGCAGCAGUAAGUCUCUCUAUGAAAGCCUCUAGGUCGUACAAUAUUGAAGAAUCCUUCUCCAAUAGUGGAGCAAACCAAGAGCGAGCAUUUCCUGAUAGAAGAAUACCUAUGAAAGCAACCUGGGUAAAUCCAUUCGAAUAACGAGAAGGAUAUAGGCGUAGGUAAAGCCGUACUUGUUGCACAAAACCUCGGAAGUUGGCUCUUGUUCCGUCAAACUUGUCUGGCAUACUCGCUUUUGGUUCUUUCGUACUAAUCCUUGAAGUAUCCAUAGGGGUCGUAUGUGACACAUGUCUUGCUUCUCUCAGUCGAAUAAUCUCUUAUUGUAGGCUAUGAAUUUUGCGUCUAGCUUCUUCGGUCACUAGAUCAAUUUGAGGUUCUUUACUUGGAUUGCGAAGAAAUACAAUCUCCUUUCGUACACUAUUCAUAAGAGCUUGAAGAUCUGCAAGAGUUGCCACUCUAUUGUCUACUUGUGGAGAUGCACUGUCUAUGACCUGGUCUACUUCAAUAUUUAGAGAAUAGAUGGAUUAAAAUUUUGAGAGAAGAAGAAAUUGCUAAGUCUCUUGGAGAAAAUUGUAGCACUACCUGUCACUAAAACCUACUCGGAGAAAAGAAAAAAAAACACUAAACGAUUUCAGUUUUAGAGGAGGGUAAUCCGCAACCUCUAAAAAUGCCUCAAUGCUUUCGAGAAGAGGGGUAAUCCGCACUCUAUCAAGAAGGCAAAGCUCUGAAAUCAAUGUUAACAGUCUUUUUUACUAGCUAUGCUAAACAAAAAGAAGGAAUUAAAAUCAGUCCAAGAGAGGGUAAUCCGCAACCCUUAGAACGCUCAAGUAUCUUCAAGGAAAGGGGUAGUCCACUCUCUGCCUCAAAGAACUAAGCUCUGAUAUUGUGAUUGAAAAAAUAUCAGUUUAGAGGAAGGUAAUCCGCAACCCCUAAAGCGCUAGAAUACCUUCAAGAAGAGGGGUAAUCCGCUCUCAAACAAGAAGGAUUCAACUCUGAUAUUAAGAUAAAGGCAGUCUCGACAAACUGUCAUGGACCAAAAAUACAAACAAGAAAUGUAAACAAGAAGUUCAAGAAGAAAUGACAAGAACUAGAUUAUCAGAUGAGUAUAAGAGCAACGCCAAGAGAAUUGAGCUAGAGCUUCAAGAGAUGUGUUGUCGAGACUGAAGAACUCUUCAGCCUCGACUCCUAUAUAUACUAUUGGCCUAUGGUUCUAAGGAAGCGCAUCAAGAAGCUUCCCAAGAACUAUGAAGCUUCUCGAGCAACUACCCAAGAGCUAGGAAGCUUCUCAAGUAACUUCCUAGAAUCUACUAGAAUAUUCUAAGAAUCUUCUAGAGCCUUCUAAGGGAAUCUUUAGAGAAUCUUCAAAGAAUCUUCAAAGAAUCUUUAAAGAAUAUUCUAAGAGAAUAUUCAAGGAAUCUUCUGGAAGUUUCUAGAGACUUCUUUCUAGAAGGUUCUAGAAACUUGUCUCUAGAAAGGUCUAAGGACUAUGUCCCUAACAGUGGCUAGUAGAUUAAAUUAAAAAGAGUUGGUAUAAGAAACUUUAUUUUGUUUCUUACUUGUUUUGAUUUUGACAUUAAUAUAUAUAUAUAUAUAUAUAUAUAUAUAGGACCUAAAUAUAUAGUAUAAAGCUUAAGAGAAGAUUGGGGCCUAAAGAAGAAAAUCUUAACUAAUAGGAGGCUUAUUGAGAGGGAUGAAAGCAAAGCAUGGUUGGAUGAAGACAAGGAAUGGAAAACUUCAUUCCUAUUGGUCAAAGGCCAUGCCCAAUGGGCUUCAAGAAGGCUGCCCGAGGUCUUAUUAGAGAUUAGGGUUCUUCUUUCGGAGGAAUUCGGAGAAUAUAAACUAGGGUUGUAAAUUUUAGGAUUUGGGAUACAAUUUGUGUUCAAAAAUUAGAGGAUUUGGAGUUAAGGUGAAGAAGUUAUAGUCGUUUGAAGUUAAGGUAUUAAUUUAAGACAUACUGUUACUCUUUUGAGGAUACGAGGAGUUUUACAGUAGCUUUUGAAGAUCGGAAGGUGCGACUUGAACGACAAUUUCAAGGCCUGUAUCUUUGAUGAAAAAGUUAUUACUUUUGGAGUUUAUAUGAAGGAGUUAUAAGGAAUUGAAGGCGGCGCUUCCAAAUCAAAUGCAGUAAGUAAGCGGUUUUGUUUAUAGUAAUGGUUGGAGCCAUAACUUGAGUAUUCGGACGAAUUUUUGGCUCAAACUUUUUUCAAAAUAUAAAAUUUUUUGUUAAAAAGCUAUACAUAUAAAUUUAGUGAAAUUUGAGCUUAUAUUUUGUGAGAUAUGAAGAAAAUUGCAUUUGGGUAUAUAAAGACAAGGGUUUGAAGUGACUAUUAGUGUUUUCAAGAUAUCUCAAGAUCCGCAAUGAGUUUGUGGUUGAAAAUUGUUGUAGAAGUUAAUAAGAAUAUAUUAGUAUCUCAUGUAAAAUUUGAAUUUUUUUGGAUGGUCGCAUUAGAAGACAUGACGUGUUGAAUUUUGGAAAAAUCUCCACAUAAGAAUAUACAAGGUUUUUGAGGAUUUUAUCAUAUUUUGGGUGUUGUUGGUUACUUGAGGCUUGUAUAUUUGGUGUAAUUGCUCAAAAAAGGGAAAAUUUACAUAUAAACUUACGGCUUGUUUUAUUUUCAAGCUUAAUCGAAUAAUUAGUGACAGCCAAAAGCCCAGCAUUUUCUUGAGGUAAACUCUAUCCCGACAUCGGUCUCCAAAUAGAAGGCCUUUGCAAAGUCCAGAUGUACCAAGAUUGGAGCCAUAAUAAAUGCCGUGUUAAGAUCUUGAAAUGCUUUUUCUACUAGAGAUCUCCAUUCAAGCUUAUCUUUAUAUAUCAACCGAGUGAGCGGAGCAGUAAUUUGAGAAUAAUUCUUGAUAAAGAUCUGAUAGAAGUUAGCAAAACCAAAAAAGCAUUGUACAUCUCUAAUUGCCUUUGGAACUGCCUAUGAUACAAUUGCUUCCACCUUCUUAGGGUCCAUCUUCAAGCCUUCCAUAGUUGCAAUGAAUCCCACAAAUUCUAUCUCAGUUUGGUUAAACAAGCACUUCUCUAAUUUUGCAUAAUGUCCUCGCUUGCAGAGUUUUUUAAGGACCAGACGAACAUGUUUCUCAUGCUCUUCUACAUUCUUGGAAAAUAUCAAAAUAUCAUCUAGAUAGAUGACAAAAAAAUCGUCAAGGUGUUCCCAAAAGAUGUCAUUCAUCAUGUAUUGAAAGAUUGCCGGAGCAUUGGUAAGACCGAAAGGCAUGACAUUAUAUUCAAAAUGGCCAUAUCUUGUACGGAAAGCUAUCUUCCAUUCGUCUCUUUCCUUGAUUCAUACAAGGUUGUAAGCUCCUCUUAGAUCAAUCUUUCUAAAGAUCCUUGCACACCCAAGUUGCUCUAGAAGACAUGAUAUCAAGGGUAAUGGAUAACGAUUCUUCUUUGUCUCCUUAUUGAGACCUUGAUAAUCUAGGCACAUCUACAACGAGCCAUCUUUCUUCUUCACAAAUAAGAUUGGUGCCACAACUGGCGACUUCGAAUGACAAAUGAAAUUCUUGACUAGAUUCUUGUCAAUGUAUUUCCGUAAUUCCGAUAACUCCAUUUGUGACAAAUUAUAGAUUGGGCCAAAAGGUGGUUGUGCUCCUUCCUAUAAGUCUAAUGCACAAUCGUAUGGUUGAUGCUUCGAUAGCAUGUUGGCAUUUUUCUUUUGAAAUACGUCUUCAAAAUCCUUAUAUUGCUCCGAUAUAUUUGCUGUCAAAAUCUUCUCUCCGCUAGUUGGAGUCGUAUAAAUAACAAAUGGUGUGCCUUCCUUAGAUGAUGUUGUAAACGUUCUUACUCCAAUAAAUAAAGGUUUUUUGAUUUGAGAUCUUCUAACAAGCUUACUCUCAGAAUGUUCUGUAGAAAAUGUCAUCCUUUGUAACCUCCAAUCUAUGCAUGGAUUAUAUAUUUCUAACCAAGAAAGACCAAGAAUAAUAGGGUUUGAUAGAGUUCUAAUAAUAUUCAAAAUAAUAUAACUACUAUGGUCUUUAAACGUCACCUCUAUAGGUUUUGAUUCAUGGGUGACACUACCACACAAUAAAAGGUCGAUUUAUUACUUCUACGUGAACAGAUUUAGGUUUUUGUACUAGAAGAAUCUAGUGACGUUUAACAAAUUCUUUAUCUAAAAAUCAAGCAAAUACUCUUGAAUCUAAUAACGCUAAGGUUUUUAGUUUUUGAGGGCCAAAAGAUAGAAGAAUGGUAAAAUAAUGGAUAGGUUGAGUGAAAAGAGAAGAACUUCUUGGGAUAGUUUCCAACUCUGUGGCCUUCUUCAUUGCAAUACAAACAUAAUCCUUCCUCCAUACGUCACUUUUUUUCUCCUAAAGUUAAGGAUUUGAUAUGUACUGCAUCAAUUUGCAUGUCAUCUAUCUCUGAAUGUGAAUUCAGCGUACUUACUAACAUAGUUGGAAUAUGGUGAGUCGUAUAUUAUCUUGAGCGUUGGUCUUGGCGACGUUGGAAUAUGCGAUUAUCAUACUUCACAGCUUGGCUAAUGGCUUCAUUGAGCAUUCGUGGAUUAGAAAGAGAUAAUAACAAAUCCUUCUCAUCGUCCCUCAAGUCCCAAUAAAAUUGAUUCAUCAAUGUUUUCUUGUCCUAGUUGAUGUUGUACGCUAAUUGUUUGAAAUUUGAUGCGUAGAUUCAUGUAAAAUGUGCCUCUUGUUGUAGCGACUGGAUCUUUGUUGUAGCCCAUCGUGCCUUGUCAUAUUUGCCAAAUGCUUUUGUAAACGCCUCUAAAAAGUUUUAAAGUUGUUCAAAAUUGACGAUCUUUUCUUAAACAAAGGAACAAACCAUGAUAGAGCUUGUCCCAUGCGCAAAGUUUCAACUAGUCCAACACGUGACUCCUCUGUCGAAUAGCGUUUGGAUUGUAGAGCUAUUAUCAAUCUAAUUUGAUUGACAAAACCUCAAAACUUCGAACACGUAUCAUCGAACUUGUUUGGAAGGCUAAUUCGGGGCUCCUUUCGUUGUAAGACCAACACUCCUUGUUGAACUAAAGGCAAAGUUGCUUCUCUUGGUGCUGAAGCUUAACGCUAGUGAAUCCUCGAUUGUGCCAUCCCGGAUGCUCCAUCAUCAUGAAGUCUUGCAAUGAUUCCUUCAAUUUCUAUAGUUUUUUAUGAUAACAUAGCAAAAACAUUCAUAAUGACAUGUAACUUGGACUCUGAACUUUUAGUCAUACUAAUAUCUUAACCUCUAGCCAUUUUAAGAGAAAAAAAGAAAUGACUGUACAAGAAGGCAAUAUUAGUUUAGAAGAGGAUACUCUGCAACCUCUAAAAUGCCUUAAAACCUUCAAGAAGAGGAAAAAUCUACUCUCUCAAAGAAAAAUAAGACUCCAAUAUUAUAAUAGAAGAAAUAUCAGUUUAGAAGAGGGUAAUCCACAACCUCUAAAAUAUCAGCACCUUCAAGCAGAGAAAUAAUCUACACUCUAAUGAGAAAGAACUAGCUCUGAUAUGAAAGAUGAGUGCAAUCUCCAGAAACUGUCACGAAUUUAGAAUACUAACUGAAAAUCUAAACAUGAAGCUGAAGAAGAAUCAACAAGAACUAUUUUAGUUAGAUGAGUACAAGAACAACACUAAAGAGGUGAGCUAGAGCUCUAAGAGGUGUUUUGUCGAGACUAAAGAUUCCCUCAGUCUCGGCUCCUAUAUAUACUACAAGCUAGGAAGCUUCUCAAACAGCUUCCACGAGCUUAAAAUUUUCUCAAGUAGCUUCUAUAAACUACAAAGCUUUUCUAGAACCUUCUAGAAUCUUUUACAACUUCUUAGUAUAUGUCCUUGAUAGCUAGAGGUCUGAUUUUGAUCUUGACUCACAAAUAGUCGAGCUCCGGAUAUUAAUCUAAUCUAUCACAAGGAUUUUUUAGCCCAAUCCUACUUUCAACUUAAUUCUAGUACCAAUUAUACUAAUUAUUUACCUCUUCUAACUUAAUUUUAUCAAUUUAUGUUCUUUUCAAGGUAGUAGAAGAGUCUCUACAACUUAGAAGAUAAAAUUAUUAACUAACCUUCAACCCACUAAUUAUUAAGAUAAGAAAAUAAUCUAAGAAGCUUUUAUAAAAGCCAUAUUUAGAUACCUCAAAUUAUAAUCGAACUAAGAUAAUUAGAUAUUAAUUAUAAAUUUAAUUUUGAUUAUAAUUUCAUUAUAUAUUUGUAUUACAUCACGACAACGUGGUUUACUUAUUGGCUAAGUUUUUAACCUAUCAAUACAUCUAAAAUCAAAACCGCAUCUAUAAAGCUUUUAGGGAGCUUCUUUAGAAGAUUUUAUGAAAUUAAUCUAUAUUUAUGUACUUCUAUCUAAUUAUAUAAGUAACUAUUGAGGCAAAUAUAUAUGUCCAUAACAUCCACUUAGAUAACCAUCCUAAGUUCUUUACAGAAGGAUCUAUAGUAGAUCCUACAUAGAUAAUUGCCUUAAUUCCUCUCUAAAAUGUUCCAUGGUGGAUCCUACAUAGUCCACUAACCUAACUCCAAUGCUAGAAAAUUACUAUAAACUUCUCAAAUAUAAUUCUAACUAUCUAUUUUCAUUUGUCAACAAUAGAAAUAUCUAAUUUAUAUCCUGUUACAAUCAUUGUCUUGUUCACUAAUAAAGUAAUUUUGAUAUAACAAUGAAGUAGUCACACCUUAUCACCUACAUUGAAUUGUGGUUGUUCCUUGCAUUAGGCAUCCACAUUGAUCUUUAGUUAUUGUUGAGUUUCUUUUAAUUGUGCCUUUAUUCUUACAUAUAAUUUUAAUAAAUAAUUUUCUAAAUCUUGUGCCAUAAGAAUAUCAACUUUUGAAAAGUCAAAAGUAUCAAAUUUUGGAUAAAAAUCAUAAUUUAUAAAAAAGAUAUUUAUUGACUAGAAGAAUGUAUCAAAUUAUUGUAUACAAACUCUACCAAUGGUAAAAGAGUUGUUCAAUCAUCUUGAUGAUAAUUGAUGGUACACCUCAAAUAUAGCUCUAAAACUUAAUUCAUCUAUUUUAUUUGCCUAUUUGUUUGAAGAUGAAAAGUUAAAAAAAGCUUUAUAUCUAUUUUUAAAAUCUUAAAAAAGAUUUUUUAAAAUCUUGAUAUAAAUUGAGUUUCUAUAUCUGAUAUAAUAUCUUUGAAUAAUCCAUAAUAGUAAUAGAUAUUAUUGACAAAAAACUUAGCCAAUUUUUUAUUUGCCAUAAAUUUUGUACAUGAUAUAAAAUGUGCCAUUUUGAUAAACAAUCUACUAUCAUGAAUAUAAAAUCAUAUAAACCUAAGAUUAAACUAUCAUUGAUAAAAUCUAUAGUAACAAAAGACCAUAGUUUUUUUGGAAUAGGUAAUAGCUGAAGAAGUCCAUAAAGUUGAUGAUGAGAAGUUUUGGAUCUUGAACAAAUAUCACAUAAUUAUACAAAGUCUUUCAUUGCCUUCUAUAUUUGAAACCACCAAAAAUAUUUUAAUAUUAGCUCUAAAAUCUUCUUGUAUCUAAAAUGUCUGACUACUAGAAAGUUAUGACAAGCUUGAAAAAUAUGCAAUUAUACUUUGUCUUUUAGAAUGUAUAAUCAUCUCUUGAAAUAGAAUAGAUUAUUUUUGAAUUUGAACUUUGAUGUAUCAUAAGACUUAAAAGAAUUAUUUUUCAUAUCAUGAAUAGGAGGAUCAAAAGAUAUUCUUGAUUGAAUUUGCUUGACAAUGGUUGAAUCAAUAAUCAAUGUUGAUUUUAUUGCUCAAAGAUGAAAAUGCUCUGGCUUUAAAAAAAACAUUCUUUGUUGAUCAAAAGUUUUACAUCCUUCUUUUAAUAUAAAAUAAAAAAAUCUAGAAAGAACAUGUGAUGAAUUAUGUUAUUUUUCAAAUCUAUAGGUGAACUUGAAAUCAAAAAUCUUAAUAAAGACAUACUCCAACAAACUUGGCAACGAUUUAAAAUAAGAGUCAACAUAAAAUAUUUGAGAUUCUUGUGAUUUGUAUAUAUAAGAACUAGAAUAGAAGCACAUUUUAAAUAAUGAUAUCAUUCUUAAAAUGAAUACACAAUUGCAACAAGCUCUUUGUCAUUUUUUUCAUAAUUAAUCUUAAUUGUUAAAAAACUUCUAGAAUAAAAAAGAAUUGAAUGGAACUUAUUAUUUGCUCUCAUUUGUGAUAAAACAAUAGCCAUAGCAAAGUUUGAUGCAUCUAUUUCAAUGAAAAAUACCUUAAAAAAAUCGAUGUGAUAUAAAAUUGGUGCAAAAAUAAAUAUUGACUUCAAGGCUUCAAAAGAUGUUUCUGCUUCUUUAUUCUACUGAAUAUUGUCUUUACAUGUCAAACAUAUAAAAAGAGCCACAACUUGAGAAAAGUUCUUGAUGAAUAUUUCAUAAUAAUUGGUAAAUUUUAAAAAAUAUUACACAUCUUUGAUUAUUUUUUGAGUCCUUCUAAUUCAUGAUAGUCUAGACCUUCUUAGGAUCCAUCAUUAGUCUUUUAUUAAAAAUGAUGUAUCUUAAGAAAUCAACUUGAUUAGUGUAGAAUAUAUACUUUUUUAUUUUUGUAUAUAAUCUUGUAUUUCUGAGUUUUUGUAAUACACAAUAAAUAUAAAGUUCAUAUUCUUUUAUAUUCUUAGACUAGAUUAGAAUGUUGUCUAAAAAAUAGACAACAAAAAUAUCAAGAAGCUCAAAAUAGACAUUAUUUUAGAAAUAUUGAAAAUUAAUUGCUAUAUUUGUGAUUUCAAAAGCCAUGACAUUAUAUUAAAAAUAUCCAUAUAUAAUUUAAAAAGUAGUCUUCUAUUUAUCUCCUUUCUUAAUGUAGAUUAGAUUGUAUGCUCUAUAUAGAUUUAUUUUUGUAUAGAUCUUUGCUUGGUUGAGUUGAUUAAGAAGUCUUUGAAUCCAAGAUAAGAGAUACCUAUUUUUGAUGGUGAUCUUAUUAAAUCCUUGAUAGUCUACUUACAUCUACAAAGAUCCAUCUUUUUUUCUUGACAAAUAAGAUAGGAGUUUGUACUAGAGAUUUUGAGUGGCAUAUGAAGUUCUUAGCCAAGUUCUUGUUAAUGUAUUCUUUUAGUAUAAUCAAUUUAUUUUGCAAUAAGUUAUAGAUUAGUCUAAAUGGUAGUUGAGCUCCUUAUUAUAGAUUAAUUAUACACUCAUAAGUUCAAUGUUUGAAAAGAAUAUCUGCAUUCUUUUUUUCAAAAAUGUCUUAGACAUCUUAAUAUUAGCUAAGAAUACUACUUGAUAUCUUUUUAUGACCAAAAAUAGCUAUAGCAUAUAUAGCAAAAGAUGGCCUUUUUUUUGCUGAAUGCAUGAAAGCUCUUGCAUCUACUAGUAAGGAUUUGAAUAUAUUAAGCUUAUCUAUUUCUACAUUACUAUUAAAAUUUUAGAUUAAACUAUAAGAAAAAUUAAGAUUACAAGAAAUCCAACCUAUUUUAAAAUUAUAUUUUUUUAACCAUAAUAAUCUAAAAAUAAUUAGAUUGGAGGAAGAUCUUAUCAUAUUAAAUAUUAUUACACUAAUAUGAUCAUUAAUUGCUACAUCUAAAGAAAUAAUCUCAUGAAUAACAUCUCUAAAAGACAGCAAACAACUAUCUAUGACUUCUAAAUGUAUGAAUUUAAUUUUCUUGACUAAACAUAUUUCUUGUUUCUUGAGAAAGUCUUUGUCUAUAAAACAGACUAAUGCACUUGAAUCUAAUAAUUUAAAGAUUUUAUGAUUUUUAGGUCCUAAACAUAUAUCUAUUACAAAAUAAGGUACUAAAUCUAAAAAUAAAAUAAGAUCUUUAUCAUGUAUUGCAUAUGAUUUUAGCCACACAACCUCCAUUAUAGUUGAAAAAACUUAUUUUUUAACACAUUAUUUCUUUUAUUAAUUGUACUCCUCAUUUUGUAAUUAUGUUGCUUCUUUGAGCAAUAUUGAGUAAUAUACUUAGCUUCUCAAUAAUAAAAGCAUAAGUCUCUUCUUGCUUAGUAAGAAAUUUAAAAUAUACUAUAUUAAUUUGUAUUAGUUCUGUCAGGGAUAUGAAUCUCAAAGAAAGAUAAUCCUUGAUACACUCUUGUAUCACUGUAGAGAACGAGAAAUUCACUCAAAAGAUAAUGUAAUAUUAACAAAUAGCUAUUGCCAAAAAUAAAAGGACUAGAAAGUCUUGAAAUAAGACUAAGGACUGGAACGGCAUUGAUAAGAGUGAAGAAGGCUUCACUCUUGCCUCCAUAUAUAUUCUUAACUAAGAGCUAUAUAGCGAUGUCAUAUAAGACCUUCAAAACAUGUUAACUUUGCCAGUCACAUGUCUUAAUUUGUAAGGCAAAUUAUCUAUAUAUGUGUCAUAAGGUGAGUUUGUUCCACAAGCUAUUAUUCAAAGAUAACUUAUUCUACAAGCUACCAAUAUGUGGUUAACUUAUUGGCCAAAUUUUUGACCUAGAAAUACAUCUAAAAUCAAAACCGCAUCUAUAAAGCUUCUUGGAAGCUUCACUAAAAGACUUUAUGAAAUUAAUGUAUAUUUAUUUAUUUCUACCUAAUCAUAUAAGUAAUUAUAGAAAUAAAUAUAUAUGUCCAUGACAUUAUCUUCCUUUCUAGAUAUAAGUUUCAUAAAAAGUGGUCUUCAUAUGUUGAAGAAGUCCAAGAUGCGACAAAUUAUAUUUGUCACAUACUCCAAUCUUUGCUCUCUUUGAAGAUGGUUGAUAGGCCUUGUCAACCAUUGAUAGUGUCCCAUACCAAGGCAAGAUGACCAUCGUAUUAUUUGGUUGUUGUUGAGGCCUUUGUAACGUCUUUCAAAUAAAACAUUUGGAAUACCGUUAGGAGUUGUUCCUACCUCUAAUAAAAUCAUCAAACAACAGGAAUCUCUUCUAAGGUCGUGAUACCAAAUACGUUGUCGUGUUGUGAUUCGGCUAUUAUAUGAAAAUAAUGUAAUUAUGUACUUAAUAUAUAAUUUAUUAAGUAACAUAGUAAGAGCUAUGUUAGUCGAUUUUAGUUGGUUGUAGAUUAUAAUUUGGUUAUUAUCCUGAGAAGAGGUUAUUUAAAAAGACUACUAUAGAAUUUGUAUAAAUUUAAUUUCUUUUUUGAUAAUGGCUUUUAAGAUUGGUUUAGUUCAUAGCAACUUCUAAAUAUUUAGAGUUACCUUUGUUAGACAUUGGUGACCUUUGAAAACUUCUUUUGGUUCUUUUAUUUGGUGUUUAGAGCAUAAAUUAUAUAAAUCUUAUAAAAAAAAGGAUUAAAGAAGGAUUUUGGUAGCAAAGGGAGUAAUUAGGGCACCAAUGUAGAUGAAUGGAGAUGAAUGAUGAAAAUCUCCAUUCCUAUUGGUCAAAAAUCAUGACCAAUGGGCUUUGAGGAGGCUGCCCGAGGCCAUAUUAAGGAUUAGGGUUAGUUUCUCGGGGCCAUUCGAGUUUUUAAGACUAAGGUGAGAAGGUUUAGGUUUUUGGCUAUGGUUUUGGUGCAAGUUUUGUAUCAUUUGGGGCUUUUAUGAAGAAGUUAUAGGAGCUCAAAGUUAAGGUGUUAGUUUUGGACCUACUAUCACUCUUUUUGGCAUAACGCACGCAUACGGACAACAAUUGAGGAUCGGCAACCGCGACUAGAAAGAGCACUUUUUUGGCUACUCUUUUUACAUUCUGCUUAUUGGAUUCCAAGUUGGAAUGAAGGAGUUAUUGGAUUUUGAAGUCAGCACAUGCAAUCUAAGGGUAGUAAGUAACCUGAUUUACUAGUGGUUGUCUCUUGAGCUAUAUCUUAAGCAAUUUGACAAGGUUUUGGCUCAAAAUUUCUAAGAUUGUGUAUAAUCUUGUUAUAAAGCUUUCUACAUAAGUUUUGUGGGAUUUGGAGUUUGGAUUUUUGAGAUAUAAGAAAAAUAGUUUUUCGGGUGCUUGUAAAUUAGGGAUUAGAGUACCUGCUAGGGUUUCUAGAUGCCAAAAGAUUGGGAGUGAAUUUGCAGUUGGUUUUUUUUUGUAGUAAAAUUUAAGGGUGAAUUCUACCUAUCAUGUAAAUUUGAGAUAAAUCGAACAAUUAGAUCAAUAGUUAUGAUUUUCUAAAGUUCAAGGCAAGAAAACCCUUUGCGGAAAAAAUAUGUUUUGUAGAGAUUUUGUUAUAUUUAGAGUUUUAUACAAAAAUAAAGGAGUUUUGGAAGCUAAGACAAGAAUCAUAUAAAGGUUUAAGCUACACUCUCUAUAGCUAGAUACCCAAUAUAUUCUUAGAUAGCAAAUCAUGUCAUACGACAACGUUGUAUCUUGCCAUCUAUUUGAGGAAAGACAUGUCGUUAUUGAGGAUCUUCAUCUCUAUUUUGUUGUCUUGAAGGUUGUGACAAUCGCAAUGUCUCAUCUGGUAAAUCCACAAAUGAAAGCUCUUGAGUUCAAUCUAUUGGUUGUUGGUUCUCUAUCUCCUUGGUGUCAUAAAUAUACACAAGCUACAAAAAAAAAUAGAAGAUAGAAUGUUAUCUUCUUUUGAUCUUAUUUCUUUUACAGCAAAGAUUUUUUAUUCUUCAUUUUAAUUUUGAUGGAUUUUUUUGAUUAAAAGCUUCAACUUUCUUUGCUACAUUUGCAAGAUUCUGUGACAACUUCCAUGUGCAUUCAUUAAUAUCAUAUCCGCACCAAUGAAUAAGAUAUUUCAAUCUAUUUUGGGAUUGCCUUGAAUCUAAGACUUCUUCUAUCUUGAACUCUUAAUUAUUAUUGACUUUUAUAGAAGAAGGUGGCAUUUUUCUUCUUUCUAAAAUAUUCGCUAUCUUAUACAGUUCAAAAAGAGACAUGUCAAAUACAAGGUGGAUCUUCAUAGACUCUUGUAGAUAUAAUUGAUAAGCAAUAAGAUUGAUUUAUUCAAAAAUAGAAAAAGAUUUCAGUCUAAAAAUUAAUAGUUUAAUUUUUUACAUGUAUAAGUAGUCUUGAUAUAGCAACAAAGUAACCAUACCUUAUCACCUAUGUUGAAUUGUGGUUGCUCCUUGCGAUAGGCAUAUACAUUGGUCUUUUGUCGUCCUAGAGCUUCUUUUAAUUGUAUCUUCAUUGUUACAUGUAGAUUUGACAAAUAAUUUACUAAAUCUUUUGUUGUAGGAUUAUCAACUUUAAAAAAGCCAAAAAUAUUAAGUCAUAGAUGAUAAUCAUAUUAGCAAAGAAAGGUAUUUGUUGAAUAGAAGAAUGUAUCAAAUUAUUGUACGCAAACUCUGCUAAUGGUAAAAGAGCUGUUCAAUCAUCUUAAUGAUAGUUGAUUGUACACCUCAAAUACUAUUCCAAAAUUUGAUUCACUCGUUUCGUUUGUCCAUCUAUUUGAAGAUGAAAAGUUGAAGAAAGCUUUAUAUCCACUUUUAGAAUCUUGAUACAAAUUGAGUCCCUCUAUCCAAUAUAAUAUCCUUUGGUAAUCCACAAUAGUAAAAGAUAUUAUCAAUGAAAAAUUUAGCUGUUUCUUUACUUGAAAUAGAUUUUGUACAAAAUCUAAAAUGUGCCAUUUUAGUGAAGCAAUCUAUAAUUACGAAUAUAGAAUCAUGUGAACUUGAGAUGGAAAGAUUUGUGAUAAAAUCCAUAGAAACAAAAGACCAUGGUUGUUUUAGAAUAGGUAAUAGUUGAAGCAAUCCAUAAGAUUGAUUGAGAAGAGUUUUGGAUAUAGAACAAGUAUUGUAUAAUUGUACAAAGUCUUUGACUGCCUUCUACAUUUGAGGCCCCCAAGAAUCUCUUGAUAUUAGCUCCAAAGUCUUAUUGUAUUCAAAAUAUCCAGCUACUGAAAAAUCAUGAUGAGCUUGAAGGACACGUUGUUGUGAUGUAACACGACUAAUAAGUGAAAGAGUGUGGAAAUUAUUAUAAUAUAGAUCUUAGUUCAAAGUAUUAGAGAAAAUUAUCUUAGAAAUAUAGUUAAUAGUCAAAAGGGUAGUAAAACUAAAAGGUACCAAUGCUGCCUUUUUAAAAAGGUGACUUCUACUUAUUUUGUAGGACCAUAAAUAAAGCAAAACAAAAUAGAUUGGAAAAAUAAAUGAUAUAGGCAUCUUUAGAAGGCAAUUGAGAAUAAAUUCUAGCAAAAUUUACUUAGAAAAACUAGAUAUUGAUACCCAAAGAGAGCCGAUUAUGAACUAGGAUUGAAAUCAGACCUCGAGGCACGAAACCGAGUAUUGACAAUGACUCUAAGAUUCUUUUGUAGAUUAGAGAGGGGUUUGAUAGCAAACUAGAUUGGAUUUCUAUGAACAUUGGUUUUGGGUGAUUUGGAGUUGUUAUGUUUUUGUAAAAGCUUUACAAAGUGAAGAUUGUUUUUGGAUGACUAAGGUUUUGUGAAAUAAAAUAAGGUUGAUGUUUCUAGUGAUUUCAAGAGUUCUAUAAUAGAUCUAUGGAUAAAAUCUUAUAGGAGAAUAGUCAUAGUUGUGUUUAAUAUGUGUUGUAAAUCUUAGCUUGAUCUAACGGUUGAAUUAAGGAUUAUUGAGGUUUAAGGAGGUCAAGAUCUUAGAAAGUAGAAUUUUAGGUCUAGUGAGAGUUUUUAAGAUUUCUUGCAAUCUACUAGUUGAAUUGGAGUAAAAUUUUUGUGAAUGAAUAUCAAACUUGUUUUUCUAUGCGUAUAAGAAUUUUAAAAUCAAUUAAACAAUGAAAAAGAGAGAUAUUGGUUCUGGAAGAUUGGCAUCAAGGUCAGAGAAGGAGGCCAACCAAUAUCCAAGCACGUUUUCGAGGCUAUUGUCUAUUUGGUAAUUCCGAUCAUUUUUAAAUUUUUUUGUACUUAUUGUCAACUUAAUUUUUAAAAAGUAUGCAAAUUUUGAGUUAAGAUCAAUGAUUCAUUCAUUAAUAAUUGAAGUAAAAAUCUAUUAUAGGAAUUAUUAGAGUUUGAUUUAGGAUUUAGGAUUUGGUUUAGGAUUUAGUGAGGAUUUGAUUUAGGAUUAGGAUUUGGUUAGGAUUUGACUUAGAAUUAGGAUUAGGAUUUGGUUAGGAUUUGAUUUAGAAUUAGGAUUUGAUUUAAGAUUUAGGAUUUGGUUAGGAUUUGAUUUAGGAUUAGGACUUGAUUUAGGAUUUAGAGUUUGGUGAAGGUUUGAUUUAGGAUUGAGAUUUGAUUAGGAUUUGGUUCAAGGUUUAGGAUUUGGUUAGGAUUUGAUUUAGGAUUAUGAUUUGAUUAAGAUUUGAUUUAGAAUUUAAGAUUUGAUUUAGGAUUAUGAUUUGAUUAAGAUUUCAUUUAGAAUUUAAGAUUUGAUUUAGGAUUGGUUAAGAUUUGAUUUAGGAUUUAGAGUUUGGUUAAGGUUUGAUUUACGAUUUAGGGUUUGGUUUAGGAUU
rnacentral:lncRNA from 1 species